rnacentral:lncRNA from 1 species
AGAAAUUGUGGAUAUAGCGAGGAUUUGGAUUAAAAAGACAUUUUUGUCAUACUGCUGGAAUAGGGUUGUCUUGUACGAGUUGUGCUGGAUUAUUGCUAAAUAGAAGAAAGUCGCUCAGUAUUUUAACUGUGGGGAGCUGCUUUCGGUGGUACAUACAGGCAAAUUUGGAAAUACCAUAUGUGCUAGUGAAUGGCACAAGGAUUGGUAUGGACUAUUGGUUAGUCUUUU